rnacentral:rRNA from 1 species
UACGGGGGGGGCAAGCGUUGUUCGGAAUUACUGGGCGGAAAGGGCUCGUAGGUGGCCAACUAAGUCAGACGUGAAAUCCCUCGGCUUAACCGGGGAACUGCGUCUGAUACUGGAUGGCUUGAGUUUGGGAGAGGGAUGCGGAAUUCCAGGUGUAGCGGUGAAAUGCGUAGAUAUCUGGAGGAACACCGGUGGCGAAGGCGGCAGCCUGGACCAACACUGACACUGAGGAGCGAAAGCCAGGGGAGCAAACGGG